UACGUAGGGAGCAAGCGUUGUCCGGAAUCAUUGGGCGUAAAGAGCGUGUAGGCGGCCCGGUAAGUCGGUUGUGAAAGUCAAGGGCUCAACCCUUGAAUGCCGACCGAUACUGUCGGGCUAGAGUCCGGAAGAGGCGAGUGGAAUUCCUGGUGUAGCGGUGAAAUGCGCAGAUAUCAGGAGGAACACCGAUGGCGAAGGCAGCUCGCUGGGACGGUACUGACGCUGAGACGCGAAAGCGUGGGGAGCAAACAGG
rnacentral:rRNA from 1 species